UCCAGUGGCCUAGUGGUUAGAGCAUCUGCCUCGGAUGCAGUAUGUCGAGGGUUCAAACCCUGGCCGUAUCAU